CCCUUAGAUGUUCUGGGCCGCACGCGUGCUACACUGGUACAAUCACUAAGUUUCUGAGUAGUUAUGCUUGGGCAAUCUUGAAAACUGUACCGUGACGGGGCUUGACUGUUGAAAUUUUCUGUCACUAACGAGGAAUUCCUAGUAAAUGUGGGUCAUGAACUCACGUUGAUUACGUCCCUGCCCUUUGUACACACCGCCCGUCACUCCUACCGAUUGGAUGUUCCGGUGAAUUCUUCGGAGUCUGCGGUAUCAAUGUUUCAUUAUACCAUAGGCGAAGUUGCGUAAACCUUAACAUUUAGAGGAAGGAGAAGUCGUAACA
rnacentral:rRNA from 1 species